rnacentral:rRNA from 1 species
UACGUAGGGUGCGAGCGUUAAUCGGAAUUACUGGGCGUAAAGGGCGCGUAGGUGGCCUUCUAAGUUGAACGUGAAAUCCCUGGGCUCAACCCAGGAACUGCGUCCAAGACUGGGAGGCUUGAAUCCGGGAGAGGGAUGCGGAAUUCCAGGUGUAGCGGUGAAAUGCGUAGAUAUCUGGAGGAACACCGGUGGCGAAGGCGGCAUCCUGGACCGGUAUUGACACUGAGGCGCGAAAGCCAGGGGAGCAAACGGG